rnacentral:pre_miRNA from 1 species
GCUUACGGAUGAGCAAAGAAAAUGGUUUCUUGAGAUGGAAUCUAUCCCUGGUGAAGAUGCUGUGAA